rnacentral:rRNA from 1 species
UACGUAGGGGGCAAGCGUUGUCCGGAAUCAUUGGGCGUAAAGAGCGCGUAGGCGGCCCUGUAAGUCCGCUGUGAAAGUCAAGGGCUCAACCCUUGGAUGCCGGUGGAUACUGCAGGGCUAGAGUCCGGAAGAGGCGAGUGGAAUUCCUGGUGUAGCGGUGAAAUGCGCAGAUAUCAGGAGGAACACCGGUGGCGAAGGCGGAUCUCUGGGCCUUACCUGACGCUCAGGCGCGAAAGCUAGGGGAGCGAACUGG